rnacentral:rRNA from 1 species
CAGUCGCCGCGGUAAUACAGAGGGUGCAAGCGUUAAUCGGAAUUACUGGGCGUAAAGCGUGCGCAGGCGGUUAUAUAAGACAGAUGUGAAAUCCCCGGGCUCAACCUGGGAACUGCAUUUGUGACUGUAUAGCUAGAGUACGGCAGAGAGGGAUGGAAUUCCGCGUGUAGCAGUGAAAUGCGUAGAUAUGCGGAGGAACACCGAUGGCGAAGGCAAUCCCCUGGGCCUGUACUGACGCUCAUGCACGAAAGCGUGGGGAGCAAACAGGAUUAGAUACCCCAGUAGUCCCUGUCUCUUAUCC